CAAUAGCGUAUAUUAAAGUUGUUGCAGUUAAAAAGCUCGUAGUUGGAUUUCUGGUCGGAAGCUCCUGUCCUCUGAUGAGCGUACAAGUGCGUCCUACCAUCCUUCUGUUAACCUUUAAGGCUUUCGCGGCUUUCUAGGGGCUCAGAUAUUUUACCUUGAGAAAAUUAGAGUGUUUCAGGCAGGCUAGCGCCGGAAUACAUUAGCAUGGAAUAAUGGAAUAGGACUUUUGCCUCUUCUGUUGGUCAUGAGGCUCGAGUAAUGACUAAUAGGGAUAGUUGGGGGCAUUAGUACUUAACUGUCAGAGGUGAAAUUCUCGGAUUUGUUAAAGACUAACUUAUGCGAAAGCAUUUGCCAAGGAUGUUUUCAUUAA
rnacentral:rRNA from 1 species